rnacentral:lncRNA from 1 species
UUCAGUUUGUGGGCAAUUAUAACAGAAUUCCGCAGAACACAUACCAGAACACAUACAAUCAAGGAAAUAGGAAUCAUCCGAAUUUCUCAUGGAGCAACAACCAGCAAAAUCAAGCUCCACGACAGUCAUACCCUCCAGGUUUUCAGAAUCACCAGCACUUAGUUCAACAACAGGAAAGAAAAUCAAAUUUCGAGGAACUAGUGUCGAAGCACAUGACUAAUAACGAUGCAGCGAUGAAAAAUCAAGCAAUAGCCCUUAAGAACUUGGAGAAUCAGAUAGGAC